GGAGGGUAUAGCUCAGUGGUAGAGUGCCUGCUUAGCAUGCAUGAGGUCCUGGGUUCAAUCCCCAGUACCUCCA
rnacentral:tRNA from 1 species